GGGCCCACGUGUUGGUCACUACUAUAUCAGUUUGGAACCAAAUUUUGAACUAAUGCGAGUAGUUCUGGAAUUCCCCAAAUUACCAACUAUUCUAGGGUUUACGAGAAUCCGCUACACACCGUGUAAUUAACGAUGCCACCAAAAGCAAAAAGCGAGGUGGAGACAGCAGCAACAAGGAACUGGUUGGAGCUUCCUUCAGAUUUGACGCUGAAUAUACUCCAAAGAAUUGGCGUGGUUGACAUACUCGAGAAUGCCCAGAAAGUAUGCACUGCUUGGCGUCAAAUCUGCAAGGACCCUGCUAUGUGGAAGGUCAUUUAUAUUGAGGAUCAAAGCAAGGAGAUCUUAAAGCAUGCUGUGGAUAGAAGCCAAGGCCAGUUGCUUGAUUUAACAGUCAUCCGCUUUUGCGAUGAUGAGCUCCUUCAGUAUGUCGCUGAUAGAUCAAGUCAGCUUAAACGUCUAGAAAUCGUAUAUUACUUUGGUGAAAGAUUUAGUGAAGCUUUGAAGAAAUUAUCAUUAUUGGAGGAACUCAGCCUUGUUGGAGUAUACGUAUCAGAAGAAGAUAUUGAAGCUGCUGGCCGCUAUUGCCCCUUGCUAAAAACACUCAAAAUGAACCAAAACUCAUAUAUAUCAUGGAAGGAUUGGGUUUUUUAUGGUAAUGAGGAUGAUCAUGACGGUUAUGAUGAUGAUUUUAACAUGACUGUUCAGAAUGAUGUAGCCAUAGCAAUUGGGAAAAACUUACCCGAGUUAACUCACCUUGAACUCAUUGGGAACGGCAUGAGAAACACUGGGUUGCAGGGUAUUCUGGACGGUUGUGGUCACCUUGAAACACUCGACUUGCGUCAGUGCUAUUAUGUUAAUCUAAAGGGGAGCUUAGGGAUAAGAUGUUAUCGACAGAUUAAAUGCCUAAAACUUCCUCAUGAUCAUCUCGAUGGGUAUCUACGUGCUUAUGAUAUAGUAGAUGACUCUGACGAUGAAUGUAAAGGAUACGAUUACUCGUUCUAUGAUGAUGAUGAUGACGACGAUGACGACGAUGAUGAUGAUGAUCAUGGUGGUGAUGAUGAAGAUGAAGGUGAUCGUAUAGCUGAUAUGUACAUCUUGAGGGAGAUGAUGGAUUUCAUUGAUAUGUAUAAGAAGUAACUUGCUAUGCAUAUUGGUGUGGCCGUUGCCAGCAAGAACAAUCUUCUCUUUGGCCUUUCUCAGAAGAGGUUCACGCUGACAAUUUUCCUACCCGAAUCACCUGAUGGAGGUUCUCGAUUACGCACCCCUUAAUAUCUAGGAAGUUGUGCCAAAACGCAUAGUUCAAAUGGAAAAGGCCAUACAAAACCGUGAUUUCCCAUCUUUUGCGCGUCUAGCUUGUAUAGACAGCAAUCAGUUUCAUGCAGUCUGCCUUGACACUUACCCUCCUAUAUUCUACAUGAAUGACACAUCCCAUAGCUACAUAAUUGGGGACAAGUCUAUACUAAAAGAUGCUGGGAUUAAGGAUAUGAAGGACGUGGAAGCAUUGACCCCGAUAAUUUAGAUAGGUACGAUAAUGAGAUUUGUAUGGAGUUGUGUGUGAGAAUACCCAUUUUUAGGAUUAUGUACCGAAAACAUGUCAACUGAAUAAUGU